CCUACGGGUGGCAGCAGUGAGGAAUAUUGGUCAAUGGCCGCAGGGCUGAACCAGCCAAGUCGCGUGAGGGAAGACGGCCCUAUGGAUUGUAAACCUCUUUUGUCAGGGAGCCAAGGGCUCCACGUGUGGCUCUUUGCGAGUACCUGAUGAAUAAGCAUCGGCUACUUCCGUGCCAGCGGCCGCGGUAAUACGGAGGGUGCGAGCGUUAUCCGGAUUGAUUGGGUUUAAAGGGUGCGUAGGCGGAAUGUCAAGUCCGCGGUAAAAUUUUGGGGCUCAACCCGGGCGUGCCGUUGAAACUGGGGUUCUUGAGUGAGCGAGAAGUAGGCGGAAUGCGGGGUGUAGCGGUGAAAUGCAUAGAUAUCACGCAGAACUGCGAUUGCGAAGGCAGCAUACCGGAGCUCUACUGACGCUGAUGCACGAAAGCGUGGGUAUCGAACAGGAUUAGAUACCCGUGUAGUC
rnacentral:rRNA from 1 species